UUUUUGCUUUCUCUGAGGAAGGUUGAUGUCUGUCUUCCCAUUUUCAAGUUCUGCUGAAUUAAUUACACCUUCCAUUUCGUUCAAUUUAUUGUGCAAAUGUUGGUCAAAUGCCAGCCUAAUGGAGGUUUAGAUACUGAUUGAAAAAAUGUUGCAGGUAAUAUCCUCUCAACAUCGCAUAGGGAAUGAUACUGACUGGUUAAUACAAGAUCCCUGCCAGUGCAAAUGCCUGGCUUCUCCCCUUCUAAUUCUCAUGUACAUGCUGUAAAUUGAUAUUCAUAA
rnacentral:misc_RNA from 1 species